CCUACGGGAGGCAGCAGUGGGGAAUAUUGGGCAAUGGGCGCAAGCCUGACCCAGCAACGCCGCGUGAAGGAAGAAGGCUUUCGGGUUGUAAACUUCUUUUCUCAGGGACGAAGCAAGUGACGGUACCUGAGGAAUAAGCCACGGCUAACUACGUGCCAGCCGCCGCGGUAAUACGUAGGUGGCAAGCGUUAUCCGGAUUUACUGGGUGUAAGGGGGGUGUGGGCGGGAGUGCACGUCAGAUGUGAAAACCACGGGCCAAACGUGUGAACUGCAUUUGAAACUGUAGUUCUUGAGUACUGGAGAGGAAGACGGAAUGCCUAGGGUAGCGGUGAAAUGCGUAGAUAUUAGGAAGAACACCAGUGGCGAAGGCGGUCUGCUGGACAGCAACUGACGCUGAGGCGCGAAAGCGUGGGGAGCGAACAGGAUUAGAUACCCGAGUAGUC
rnacentral:rRNA from 1 species